UAGAGUUUGAUCCUGGCUCAGGAUGAACGCUGGCGGCACGUCUGACACAUGCAAGUCGAACGGUAAGGGGGCUUCGGCCCCCCUAGAGUGGCGAACGGCUGAGUAACACGUAGGAACCUACCCCUCAGUUCGGGAUAACGGACCGAAAGGCCCGCUAAUACCGGAUAAUACAGCAAUGUUGAAAGGUUUACUGCUGAGGGAGGGGCCUGCGGGCUAUUAGCUUGAUGGUGGGGUAAUGGCCUACCAUGGCGAUGAUGGCUAGCUGGUCUGAGAGGAUGAUCAGCCAGACUGGGACUGAGACACGGCCCAGACUCCUACGGGAGGCAGCAGUUCAGAAUCUUGCACAAUGGGCGAAAGCCUGAUGCAGCGAUGCCGCGUGGGUGAAGAAGGCUCUCGGGUCGUAAAGCCCUGUCAGAGGGGAAGAAUAAUGACGGUACCCUCUAAGGAAGCCACGGCUAAUUACGUGCCAGCAGCCCCGGUCAA
rnacentral:rRNA from 1 species